rnacentral:misc_RNA from 1 species
CUCUCUCUCUCUCUCUCUCUUAAAGCCUCUGUCUCUUUCUCUCUACAUUUCUUUCAUCCUUUCUUUUCUCUGCGACUUUUGAGCUUCUUCUUCUAGUCUGCGGGGAACUCAUAAUGCUGUUUUGAACUAUGCAUUCACUGCAAACCUGUAAGUAAUGAUCCGGGUUCUUUGCCCUGCUGUUUUGAACUUCUUUUUCUUUUCUUUUUCCCACCUCCUCCCCUUUUUUGGCUACGAAAUCUGUAAUUUUGAAGAGAAUUUCGGUUUGAAAAAUGUUCAUAUGCUUGGUUGAGGUCAAUUUGGAGAUGGCUUUUAUGAUUUUCAUGUAUGCCUCACAUUGGAGCUCUUUAACUUAUUCCAAAUUUGCUGGUUUUUGCUAUUUUGCGUUGGCGUUGAAAAGGUUUGAAUUUGUAGAUCUGGUGUUGAUAUUUAAUAAACAAUGUUUUGGGUUCUUGAGGCUAGGAUGUUAUGUUGCAUAAUCAUGUAAAAGAGGGGUAUGGAAUGAUGGAUCUAAUUCAGUAGUGGUUUUUGGGUAUCCCAGGUAUCUUAUGCUAGCGUAAGUAAUAUUGACUUCUUUUUGUUUGGUUUUUGGGUUGCAGAAAUUGACUUGUGAGCUUAUAUGGGUUUGAAAUUGGAAAUAUUGCCACUAUGGAUUAGACAUUAAAUGAUGCGUUGAGAGACCAAGCCGAUGCUUUCCACUUGCCAAAACAGAAAAGAAAUGAAACUAAGGGCUGUUUUAUUGUGGAAAAUAGUUAUCUGUUUUUUAUUUUCUAUUUUUUAAGGAAAACUCUAGAGAAAAUAUGAAAAACACAAUAUGUCAAUAAUGGAAAAUACUUUUCUAUCUAAUUCAAAGAAUUAAAAAAGUUAUUCAUAUCAUUUAUAAUUGAAAAAAUAAAUU